UUAAACAUUUUAAAGCAUAAUUUGUCAAAGCAAUGAAGUGUUCACAAAAAAAGAAAUUUUGUCAAAAAUCAACGCAAGUUUGAACAAUUAAAAUAAAUGAAUCCACGUUAUUCAUAAAUGCUGAUCUCAAACCUAUACGACAGAAUACUGAUCAUAGUCAAAUGGGCUUGUAUUUGUAAAUUGUCUUUCAUUUGAACAAAAUAUGAUUUAAGGAUGUUUGCUCCUCUAUUUUUUGAUUUUUUGCCAUAUUUUCGGAAUCCUCUGGUUAUAUCAAUGUAUCAACAUUAAAAAAAAAAUGCCCACUAACCCCUACUUUUCUUUUCAUAUUUUUAUUACAUAUUGUUUAAAAAGCCAUAUUUCAAAAUCUUACGAAAUCCUUGUUAUUUUUCAUAGUUUUUAAAACAAAAAAGGUGCCAAUGUUAAGUGAAAGAAAAAUAUAGAGGGAUUUAUUUCCCGCCAAAUUUUCAAUGGCUUAUAUCUCAAAAACAAGCACACGGACCCUCCAUUUUUUUCUCCUUUUUUAGUUUCUUUCUUGAUAUACUAUCAAUUUAUAACAGUCUUUUAAAAAGCUUGUUAUUUUUAAACAGAGGAGCGAACAUCCUUAAAAAUGUCAAUAAUUGUAACCAUGGUAGAUGUAACCACACAUUCCAUACUAAUGUAUAUUUAUAGAACAUGUUGUGCCAUAGAUAAUGUGUUUUUUAAACCAAUAGGCAACAAAAAAACAUUGAAAAAAAACC
rnacentral:lncRNA from 1 species